GCGGCGGACGGGUGAGUAACGCGUGGGUAACCUACCCUGUACACACGGAUAACAUACCGAAAGGUAUGCUAAUACGGGAUAAUAUAUUUGAGAGGCAUCUCUUGAAUAUCAAAGGUGAGCCAGUACAGGAUGGACCCGCGUCUGAUUAGCUAGUUGGUAAGGUAACGGCUUACCAAGGCGACGAUCAGUAGCCGACCUGAGAGGGUGAUCGGCCACAUUGGAACUGAGACACGGUCCAAACUCCUACGGGAGGCAGCAUG
rnacentral:rRNA from 1 species